rnacentral:rRNA from 1 species
CUACGGGUGGCACCAGUGAGGAAUAUUGCACAAUGGGGGGAACCCUGAUGCAGCAACGCCGCGUGGAGGAUGACGCAUUUCGGUGUGUAAACUCCUUUUAUAUGUCAAGAAAAUGACGGUAGCAUAUGAAUAAGCACCGGCUAACUCCGUGCCAGCAGCCGCGGUAAUACGGAGGGUGCAAGCGUUACUCGGAAUCACUGGGCGUAAAGGACGCGUAGGCGGUUUGGAAAGUCAGGUGUGAAAUCCUACAGCUUAACUGUAGAACUGCACUUGAAACUCUCAAUCUAGAGUAUGGGAGGGGCAGAUGGAAUUAGUGGUGUAGGGGUAAAAUCCGUAGAUAUCACUAGGAAUACCUAAAGCGAAGGCGAUCUGCUGGAACAUUACUGACGCUAAGGCGUGAAAGCGUGGGGAGCAAACAGGAUUAGAUACCCGCGUAGUC